GAUGAACGCUGGCGGCGUGCCUAAUACAUGCAAGUCGAGCGGAUGUUUCCUGCUGGCUCCUUGCUUCCGAUGGGGACGGGGAGGUACGGACGGGGGAGCUACCCGUGGGUAACGUAUACCGUAGGGAGGGGGAACCCAAGGAAACAGACGCUCAUACCGCAUAACAGUUUGUUCCGCAGAGCACAAGCGUUCAAGUGGCCCUCGGGCGUCGUUGCUGGAUGGAGCCGCGAAGCAUUAGCUAGUUGGUGAGGUAACGGCCCACCAAGGCGACGAUCCGUAACCGGUCUGAGAGGAUGAUCAGCCACACUGGAACUGAGACACGGUCCAGACUCCUACGGGAGGCAGCAGUAGGGAAUAUUCGGCAAUGGGCGAAAGUCUGACCGAGCCAUGCCGCGUGAGUGAAGAAGGUCUUCGGAUCGUAAAACUCUGUUAUUAGGGAAGAACAAGAGUGUUAGUAACUGAUCGUGUCCUGACGGUAUCUAAACAGAAAGCCACGGCUAACUACGUG
rnacentral:rRNA from 1 species